ensembl:snoRNA SNORD79 Small nucleolar RNA SNORD79
UACUGUAAAUGAUGAUUGUUUAAAAAGUAACAUUGGGAAUCUCUCUGAACAAUAAUGAAAGAAAUGUUUUUACUGAUGCAGUG